GACGAACGCUGGCGGCGUGCUUAACACAUGCAAGUCGAACGGAAAGGCCCCUCUUUUGUUGGUUGCUCGAGUAGCGAACGGGUGAGUAACGCGUAAGUAACCUUCCCUUUACUUUGGGAUAACGUCAGCAAACUGGGACUCCUACCGGAUAUGAUCUCCUGCUGGAUGGGGGGGGUUGGAAACGUUGGGCGGUUGGGGAUGGCCUCGCGGUUUAUCAGCUUGUUGGUGGGGGAGUGGCUUACCAAGGCUUUGGCGGGUAGCCGGCCUGAGGGGGUGCCCGGCAAAAUUGGGACUGAGAUAGGGCCCAGACUCCUACGGGGGGAAGCAGGGGGGAAUAUUGAACAAUGGGCGGAAGCCUGAUGCACAACGGCCGCGUGCGGGAUAACGGCCUCCGGGUGGUAACCCGCUUUAGCAUGUGAGGAAGCGUGAGUGACGGUACUGGGUAAAGAAGCACCGGCUAACUACGUG
rnacentral:rRNA from 1 species